UACGGAGGGUGCAAACGUUGCUCGGAAUCAUUGGGCGUAAAGCGCACGUAGGCGGUUUGUUAAGUCGGAUGUGAAAGCCCCGGGCUCAACCCGGGAAGUGCAUACGAAACUGGCAAGCUUGAAUAUGGAAGAGGGUCGCGGAAUCCCGGUGUAGAGGUGAAAUUCGUAGAUAUCGGGAGGAACAUCAGUGGCGAAGGCGGCGACCUGGGCCAAUAUUGGACGCUGAGGUGCGAAAAGCAGUGGGGAGGCAACAGAUUAGAUACCCCGAGUAC
rnacentral:rRNA from 1 species